rnacentral:rRNA from 1 species
UACGGAGGGUGCAAGCGUUAUCCGGAUUUACUGGGUUUAAAGGGUGUGUAGGCGGACUUUUAAGUCAGCGGUGAAAUCUCCGGGCUCAACCCGGAAACUGCCAUUGAUACUAUUGGUCUUGAAUAUUGUGGAGGUGGGCGGAACGGGUCAUGUAGCGGUGAAAUGCUUAGAGAUGACCCGGAGCACCGAUUGCGAAGGCAGCCCACUACGCAAUGAUUGACGCUGAGGCACGAAAGCGUGGGGAUCAAACAGG